rnacentral:rRNA from 1 species
AGAGUUUGAUCAUGGCUCAGAAUCAACGCUGGCGGCGUGCCUAACACAUGCAAGUCGAACGCGAAAGUCCCGCAAGGGAUGAGUAGAGUGGCAAACGGGUGAGUAACACGUGGGUGACCUGCCUUCGAGCGGGGGAUAACGUCCCGAAAGGGACGCUAAUACCGCAUAACAUCCUGCCUUUGAAGAGGCGGUGAUCAAAGCUGGGGAUCGCAAGACCUAGCACUCGAAGAGGGGCCCGCGUCCGAUUAGCUAGUUGGUGAGGUAAUGGCUCACCAAGGCAACGAUCGGUAGCCGGCCUGAGAGGGCGGACGGCCACACUGGGACUGAGACACGGCCCAGACUCCUACGGGAGGCAGCAGUGGGGAAUUGUUCGCAAUGGGCGCAAGCCUGACGACGCAACGCCGCGUGGAGGAUGAAGAUCUUCGGGUCGUAAACUCCUUUCGAUCGAGACGAUUCCUCCGGGGUGAACAAUCCCGGAGGUUGACGGUAC